AGAGUUUGAUCCUGGCUCAGAACGAACGCUGGCGGCGUGCUUAACACAUGCAAGUCUGACGGAGUCAUUUUGAAGUAGCAAUAUGGAAAGAUGACUUAGUGGCGGACGGGUGAGUAACACGUAGGUAACCUACCCUUAAGCCGGGGACAACUCAGGGAAACUUGAGCUAAUACCCGAUAAGACCACGGACUGAGAUGUUAGUGGUAAAAGGAGCGAUUCACUUAGGGAUGGGCCUGCGGCCUAUCAGGUAGUUGGUGAGGUAAUGGCUCACCAAGCCUAAGACGGGUAGCCGGGCUGAGAGGCCGGACGGCCACACUGGAACUGAGACACGGUCCAGACUCCUACGGGAGGCAGCAGUGGGGAAUCUUGCGCAAUGGGGGAAACCCUGACGCAGCAACGCCGCGUGGGUGAUGAAGGCCUUCGGGUCGUAAAGCCCUGUCAGGUGGGAAGAAACAUGUCGAUGUCAAUAACGUCGGCAUUUGACGGUACCACCGGAGGAAGCACCGGCUAACUCCGUGCCAGCAGCCGCGGUAAUACGGAGGGUGCAAGCGUUGUUCGGAAUUAUUGGGCGUAAAGCGCGUGUAGGCGGUCGGGUAAGUCAGAUGUGAAAGCCUUCCGCUCAACGGAAGAAGUGCAUUUGAAACUGCUCGGCUGGAGUACGGGAGAGGAGAGUGGAAUUCCCGGUGUAGAGGUGAAAUUCGUAGAUAUCGGGAGGAACACCAGUGGCGAAGGCGGCUCUCUGGUCCGAUACUGACGCUGAGACGCGAAAGCGUGGGGAGCAAACAGGAUUAGAUACCCUGGUAGUCC
rnacentral:rRNA from 1 species